rnacentral:rRNA from 1 species
ACGGGAGGCAGCAGUAGGGAAUCUUCCACAAUGGACGGAAGUCUGAUGGAGCAACGCCGCGUGAGUGAAGAAGGAUUUCGGUUCGUAAAACUCUGUUGCAAGGGAAGAACAAGUAGCGUAGUAACUGGCGCUACCUUGCCGGUACCUUGUUAGAAAGCCACGGCUAACUACGUGCCAGCAGCCGCGGUAAUACGUAUGUGGCAAGCGUUGUCCGGAAUUAUUGGGCGUAAAGCGCGCGCAGGUGGUUUCUUAAGUCUGAUGUGAAAGCCCCCGGUUUAACCGGGGAGGGUCAUUGGAAACUGGGAGACUUGAGUGCAGAAGAGGAUAGUGGAAUUCCAAGUGUAGCGGUGAAAUGCGUAGAGAUUUGGAGGAAAACCAGUGGCGAAGGCGACUGUCUGGUCUGUAACUGACACUGAGGCGCGAAAGCGUGGGGAGCAAACAGGAUUAGAUACCCUGGUA